rnacentral:lncRNA from 1 species
UCCCAUCCACCAAAACUUCACACUCGAAUAAUAAUGCCCUACUUUGGUUUUUUGUCACUUGUCAAGUUCUUUGAGUAGAAUUUCCCGCAAAUCUUUAAGCAUAUAUUUAUAUUUUGUACCCGUUGCAACACCCUAGCUCUUUUGUUUCUAACUUUUGGUUAUUAUGUGAGUAUUGUGGACAAUAGAUUAUUAAAUAUGAAAAUCAAUUAUUACUUAUGCCUAUCGUGAGAAUAUUAUGGAUAAUAAGAUUUUCAGUGCUACUUUAGAUCUUAAAGCAUUGCAAUUACAUGUACCAUACAUAAAGGAGGGGGAUGGGUGGGAGGAUAAGUGAUGACAUUGCUGAUUUGUUAUGUUAAAAUAGAGAUCGUGGAUCUGAGUGGAGGGUCUUGAUCAUUCUUAGAGUUGUGAUGUUAUUUUUCUUUCGUUGUAACGUACGGGUAUUUACAGAUAACACGAACACAUGUUCGCUAACAUUAAUAACCAACCAAGGCAUGGUCACUAGGAGUAUGUCCAAACUGCAGUAGACAACAUGUAUCUUGAAACACAUUGAUGCACGUUAUUGGGCUAGCUCGGUGAAACACACACAUUGCAGAUAUUCCCGGUGCCUCCCAUUGCUACAUGCAUGCAUAUCUAUUUUUGACGCCACAUUGUCUAGAGCAAUUCUUACACUAUAAAGCACACGGUGAACUACCAGUUAGAUCAUCCAUGGAGGCAAUUGUGGGAAGUCUCAUAUUUAUCAGAAGAGAAUGCAUGGGUGAUCCCUUGAACUAAUUGUACUUACCAACAUGCAUUGCGUCUUUAAAUGUUACGUACUUUUAGCUGUAAAGGUUCCCCAGCUGCGCAAUUCAAUACUUUAAAUGGUUUGGCUCUAAAAGUUUUACUGGUCAGUUUAUUCUAGAAGGCCUGUACGGUAGAGUUGAACUUACUUCCGCAUACAGUAGCCAUGUAGUAGAAAGAAAGCCAAUGUGUUGUUUAUCUGCCGUUGACUCAGCUUUUCUUUGCUUCAGAGUACAUAUUUGCAAUCUUUUAAGAGCACCGACACCUUUUUCUCCAAAACGAUCAAUGAUACAUGUUUUUUAGUUGGAAAAGUUUCCCAGCUGCGCAAUUCAAUGCUUGAAAUAGUUUGGCUCCAAAAGUUUUACUAAACGGUUUACUCCGGAACAUAAGCCAAAUAGACUCAAACUUACUUCCAUAAACACUAACCAUGUAGUAAGAAAUGAAGGCGACACGUUGUUUCUGUGCCAUUCACUCGACUAUUUUCUUUGCUCAUGGUAGAAAAUAUUUAAGGACACUGACACUUUUAUUUCUCUCGAAAUGGUCUCCGAUGCAUACAUUUUACUUGGAGAAGUAUCGCAGCUGCACAAUUCAAUACUUUAAAUAGUUUGGCUCCAAAAGUUUUACUGGACGGUUUACUGAUAAGUGCGGUAGUGUUGAACAUCCGUAAACACUAACCAUGUAGAGUAAGAAAUAAACACAAUGUGCUUGUGUCUCUGCCGUUGACUCGCAUAUUGUCUUUCCCGUAGCGGAAUAUAUUUGCAAUCUUUAAGAACAUGAAGACUUUUUUCCAAAACGAUGAAGUUAGAUGCUGAUUUGAGGCAGACCCACCCGAAAGUCAAAAGAAACAUAGAGGUAACGGUCUGGUGAUGAAUAACUCAAUUUUAUAGGUAAAUAGCAUGGCAUUCCCUUCGUAUUCACGGAGAUUAAAAAGGUGACUUCUCCAUGUGGGGAGAUUAUGCUCCUGGGGCGGACCGAUGGUUUUGGUACCUCCAUCAAAGCGGCUUGCGAGCUGAUCGGCAGAAUCGGCGGUGACAUGUUGCAUCUCCUAAGGCUGAUCAUAGUGGGAGUAACUUAGGUGGUAUCAUAUACUCGGGGCUAGCAAACAUGUUGAUAUGGCAGAUAAUUAAAGAAGAAAGAGAGGGUUAGAGUAACACAGGUAGAUACCAUAACAUGUUAAAUGAUAUGCUACUAUGUGUCAUGCAUGUCAAUAAAUGAGGUCAUCUAUAAUAUUAGUUUAUGAUAAUGUGCAUUAUGGAGGUAGUAUCAUACAAUAGUAUCAUAUGAUACUAUUAUAUGUUACUCCCACUAUGACCAGCCUAAGGCUAGUGUGAUGGAAGUAUCAUGGCUAGUAUCAUGCAUCUCAACUAAGUAAUUAUAAUGAGGUGUCGUAGAUUUAAAUAAAAAAA